rnacentral:rRNA from 1 species
GGGGAAUAUUGGACAAUGGGCGCAAGCCUGAUCCAGCCAUGCCGCGUGGGUGAUGAAGGCCUUAGGGUUGUAAAGCUCUUUUACCCGGGAUGAUAAUGACAGUACCGGGAGAAUAAGCCCCGGCUAACUCCGUGCCAGCAGCCGCGGUAAUACGGAGGGGGCUAGCGUUGUUCGGAAUUACUGGGCGUAAAGCGCACGUAGGCGGAUAUUUAAGUCAGGGGUGAAAUCCCGGGGCUCAACCCCGGAACUGCCUUUGAUACUGGGUAUCUCGAGUCCGAGAGAGGUGAGUGGAAUUCCGAGUGUAGAGGUGGAAUUCGUAGAUAUUCGGAGGAACACCAGUGGCGAAGGCGGCUCACUGGCUCGGUACUGACGCUGAGGUGCGAAAGCGUGGGGAGCAAA